GUGGCUACAGAACGAACGCUGGCGGCAUGCCUAACACAUGCAAAUCAAGGGGGGCCCCGCAAGGGUAACCGGCGAACGGGUGCGUAACACGUGAGCAAUCUGCCUCGAUGUGGGGGAUAGCCGGCCCAACGGCCGGGUAAUACCGCAUACGCUCUCUGGGUGGCAUCACUUGGAGAGGAAACAUUUUUUGGCAUUGAGAGGAGCUCGCGGCCUAUCAGCUAGUUGGUGGGGUAAUGGCCUACCAAGGCUUUGACGGGUAGCUGGUCUGAGAGGAUGGCCAGCCACAUUGGGACUGAGAUACGGCCCAGACUCCUACGGGAGGCAGCAGUGGGGAAUAUUGCGCAAUGGCCGAAAGGCUGACGCAGCGACGCCGCGUGGGGAUGAAGCAUUUCGGUGUGUAAACCCCUGUUGCCCGGGACGAACAACUGGUUUUGACCAGUCUGACGGUACCGGGUGAGGAAGCACCGGCUAACUCCGUG
rnacentral:rRNA from 1 species